CAGCCCACCGCCCGUGUGCUGCCCACCCUGCCAUUGCCCAAAGUUGGCUGGGGUGUGUCCUCCAGCUUCACACCCUCAGUGCUGGGGUGCCAAGCGUGCAUACUGGGAAACACAGGCAGUGGUGGAACCGUCCCUCCUGGAGCAAGGCAGUCCUUUCUCUGCUCCGUGGCCGUGGCCGAGGGGGUGUUUGGCUGCAGGCUGAGCAAUUAGCAUUCAAUUACAGAAGCCAGAAGGAUUGGAACGGUUCUCCUUAUGGUUUUCUCUCAACCAAAGCCAACUUGUCUGAAUUAUGACCUAGGAAGCAUCACAUUAGAGGCAAGCAAGGUCUCCAAAACACAGACCUCACAGAAGAUGUUCCCCAGUGAUGCAGGGUUGCAAGCUGCCUGGACUACGUGUGGGGGGCCGUGACGAAUGGCUCAGAAAAGAGGGUGCUGUGAGAAACUGGAGCUGCGCUGGCGGAGUGGGUGCUCUUUCAUCAUCUGCCUGCCUCCCUCCAGCUUCCCCAUGGUUCCUCCAAGGCUCCUUUGUGGCCAUAAUCAAAGCCUGGCAGAGAUGAGCCACGGUGCACAGGAGGAUGGCUCGGCACACACUUCGAGCGCCUCCUGGACUGACCAGACAACCUGCAGGGUCUGUACCAAGGCAUCUCCUCGCUCAGGAGUGGCAGAGCUGGGAGGAGAUAGCAGAAAGGAUUUCAAACACAUGGCUGGAGGACUGGCACACAGCGGACGCUGGGUGGGAAGGAUGCCGUUAACCCUCCGUUUGCCGCUGCCCUCCGCAGGCCGUCCCCGUGCCCCCGGCUGCAUGCGGGGGUACCCACAGAGGGGCAGAGGCUCUGCAUCCCCCUGCCCCCCCCUCCAGAUGAUACCUGCCCCAGCCUGGGCGGUGCUGGGAGAUACGGUGCUGAUGCUGCCAGCAUGGGGUGGGCUCUGGGAAGGCAGCGGCUGCGGUUUUAACCUCUGUGAGUGCCCAGCAGUGCUUGCAACCCUGUGUUCCUGCAGGGCUCCCAGCCCCACGGGAGAGGCCAGGGUGGCUGGAUAGCACUGAAGUGGGCUGUCAGCCUUCCAGAGGAUGCGUUUCAUGCUGUUCCUCCUGACUUCAGACUGUUCUCUUCCUAACGGGCUGACCACAUCACUGCUAUGUGCCACCACUGCACGUCCAGCUCUGUCUGCAGCACUGUAAUCCGCAGUGGAGAGAAGUCCCAGGGGCAGGAAGCAUCACAAAAAGCGCAUUCAAUUCAAUGCCUGCUAUGGAGCUAACAGCCCCGUGUCACGAACAGCCUGUCCUGAAGCUGUGGGUCAUUGCAGUGCAAUGCUCACCCCUCAAAGGGGCUGCACUCUGGCCAGCUGGGCAAAUCUGCUGCAGGCAUCCCUUGCUGCUAUGGACACCCCUUGCUGCUGGUUAUCCUUCAUUGCUAUGGACUCCCCUUGCUUCUACGGACACCCCUCACUGCUGCCCCAUCCGUGGGGGAAGCUGGGGAGACCCUGGCCCUGCAUCCUCAGAUCUGGUGGCUGUGUGUCCCCUGCCACAUCGCUGCCCACUGCUCCUGCUGCAGCUGCACAGUGUGGCUCUGGGCUCUACUGCGGCUUUCUGCUUCCACCGAAGGAACCGUUCUCUCAGCUCAUGAUUUGUUCCCAAGCCUCAUUUUUGCAUGAUGCAAUUUAACACAGAGCAAGGACACAAAGUACCUGUUGGCUUGGAGCCCACCCUAAAAGCCGUAAAAAGGAGAUAAAAGCCUUUAAAUGCUAAGCCUGUCCGAG
rnacentral:lncRNA from 1 species